rnacentral:rRNA from 1 species
AUGACGAGCGGCGGACGGGUGAGUAAUACUUGGGGAUCUGCCUGAUGGCGGGGGACAACCACUGGAAACGGUGGCUAAUACCGCAUAAUGCCUACGGGCCAAAGUGUGGGACCUUCGGGCCACAUGCCAUCAGAUGAACCCAAGCGAGAUUAGCUAGUUGGUGAGGUAAUGGCUCACCAAGGCGACGAUCUCUAGCUGUUCUGAGAGGAUGAUCAGCCACACUGGGACUGAGACACGGCCCAGACUCCUACGGGAGGCAGCAGUGGGGAAUAUUGGACAAUGGGCGCAAGCCUGAUCCAGCCAUGCCGCGUGUGUGAAGGAGGCCUUCGGGUUGUAAAGCACUUUCAGUGGUGAGGAAGGCGUUGUAGUUAAUAGCUGCAACGAUUGACGUUAGCCACAGAAGAAGCACCGGCUAACUCCGUGCCAGCAGCCGCGGUAAUACGGAGGGUGCGAGCGUUAAUCGGAAUUACUGGGCGUAAAGCGCACGUAGGCGGCUUGUUAAGCGAGAUGUGAAAGCCCAGGGCUCAACCUUGGAAUUGCAUUUUGAACUGGCAAGCUAGAGUUUUGAAGAGGGUGGUAGAAUUUCCAGUGUAGCGGUGAAAUGCGUAGAUAUUGGAAGGAAUACCAGUGGCGAAGGCGGCCACCUGGUCAAAAACUGACGCUGAGGAGCGAAAGCGUGGGGAGCAAAAUCACUAGUGCG